GCAGCGCUGGGCGUUCGCGCUCAGCGAGGAUCGCAAA
rfam:Nocardia sp. NRRL S-836 P437contig33.1, whole genome shotgun sequence.